CAUCUUCCGCCCGGCCAUCGGGCCGCGGGCGCUCGGAACCGACCUGGGAGCUGGCGGGACCGUCCUCCCCCGCCACGCCCUCCCAUCGGGCUUUGGGCGCCGGACUCUGGCCACCGCUCGGCACCUGCCUCCGCCUCGCCUUGGGGUAUAGGAGUCCUGUACCGACCCCUGGCUUGCCCAGAGGACAGGUUCUCGCCCGGGCCAGAAGCAAACUGCGGCGAAAUCGAGACAACAGAACUCAGGAGUCACUCUGUCACCCAGGCUGGAGUGCAGUGGCACCAUCACAGCUCCCUGCAGCCUUGACUUACAGGGCUCCAGUGAUCCUCCACCCUCAGCCUCCUGAGUAUCUGAGACCACAGGUGCAAGCCACCAUGCCCAGGUUGUAGCAAGGAAACCAAAAGGUAUAAACAUUCACUGAUUGAAAAACAAUGUCAUAAAGUCAUCCCAGUAUCUGUGAGGAGUUGGUUCCAGGACCCCUGAGGACACCAAAAUCCUCAGAUGCUCAAGUCCCUGAUAAAAAAAUAAAAGGCAGUGGUGCCCUCGGGUUCAAAAACCUGAACGGUGGUCUUCAGUUGUUCCCCCAAGCUCCUCUAUCAGAGGCCCAGACACUCCAAGAGGCUGGGAAGAGGCAAGUGGCUUUCCCUGACUGGCAUCAGACUCCUGGAUGGCUGUGUUUCUGCAUACUCCACCAUCAACAAUCAGAAGGGCACUGCUUUCUUCAAGAAGGGGACCUUGCAAAGAACUGUCUCAGAUGGACUAUCUUUGAGUUCAUCUUGUUCUGAAUGUGAGUCUGAGUCUUUGUUUCCAGAUGACACAGUGCUGUCUGAGUCCUCUGAAUCACCUGCCUCAGAGCUGCAGCAAAGUUUCUGCUGCCCAGAAACUGAAUGGGCUGCUUGUAAUGCAGAUUCUUCCUCCUGGACAAGAAGUGCUGCUGCUUCUAGUUCUUCCAGUUCUAACCCCAACUGGGCCUUUGUAAGGGAGACUUCCUUUAAGGCUUCUGCAAGAGCUGCCAACGUUUUGGAUUUGACUUUCUGAGUCCACACACAGUAGUAUGAGAUGUAGAGAUCAUUCAGUAUGUAUGCUGGGUCGUUUUCCUGAAAAAUUUUGUGAAUAUCCAGGAGACACUUUAAAACUGCACUUUUACUUAAUUGCAGUAUCUUUAUAGUCUCCCCGUAGGCCUUCAUCGCCAGUUUGAAAUGGCGAUAGAGCAGGUAACACAAUACCCUUCUUCCAAAAGACACCAUGAUAUCAUGAACAUUAGUCCAAGUCUCAAACCAGCAUAGUAUUGGACUCAAGUUUCGUGAUAUUCCAUGCAGAUUCAACGUUCUUGUCUCCUUCAGUGACACGGGUUUCUUAGCAAUAUGCCAGAAGGAUAUCAAUCGAACUGUAGUACACUUGACGACAGGCUCUGUUGUCUAGCAGAUAAGAUUUAUUGACAAAUUCUUGUAGCUGAUAUUUCUCUUCUUCAGAAAAAGACACUAAUGCAGCAUGAUUUUCUUGCUUCUGACUCUUUUCCAAAAAGGCCGUCAUUUUUUAAUAUUUGUCAGUCCACCAAGGAUUAUACUUCAAAAUCUGUUCAACUGCCUCAUCUUCAAAAAAGUCAGCUAGAUAAUGAUCAGGAUCAAACUUGGCCAGCUCGGCGGCCAGGUGCUUUUGUUUUCGUUCUGCUGCAGGGAUGAAAUCUGGAUCCUUAAUAACAUCACUCAAUUCAUCCUGUAACUGCUGAAACACUCCUGAUCGUAAGUUUCCAAACCCAUAGUGGCAUGAGGAUUCAAAGCACUUUCUGUUACCUCUUCAUAGGGUGUCUGCUCAAUUUCCCAAUCAAACUCUUCAUCGUCAACUACUUCCUCAGGAAUUUCAGAAUCACCUAUUGCUUCCACAAGUGGUUUUGCUGUCCCGGAUUUUCCUGGUGCCAGAAGAGCAACACAUGUUCAGCCCCUCAAAAUGCUGGCCAGGGGUUUCUCUGGGCAGGCGAGUGGUAAAAAUUCCUUUAUCUGCAUCAUAGGACCCUUGCUCGCUUCCGUAUCCAUAUUCUACAAUUCUUCCAGGAGGGGUUAAUCUGAGAAAGUACGGCUUGGCAUAGUAGUCUAGGCCGACCCCUCGAAGUAGACGUUGAACUCGGAGGCCGGGGCAUAGGGCACGCGGAUGGCGAUGGUCAGGAAAUCCGGCUCCUGGCUGAGGCUGAACGCCGGGGUCAGCAUCGCGGCACCAGACGCAGGGGCCAGCGCGGCUCGCCCUCGCUGCCGCGGCGGUCCCACCAAGCAACUCUCUCCAAUUUUACCUUUUUAAAAUAAAAGAUGUCUGGGCCAGGCGCAGUGGCUCACGCUUGUAAUCCCAGCACUUUGGGAAGCCGAGGCGGGUGGAUCCUGACCUGAGGUCAGGAGUUCAAGAUCAGCCCCGCCGACAUGACGAAACUCCGUCUCUACUAAAAAUACAAACAUCAGCCGGACGUGGUGGUGGGCGCCUGUAAUCCCCACUACUCGGGAGGCUGAGGCAGGAGAAUCACUUGAACCCGGGAGGCAGAGGUUGCAAUGAGCCGAGAUCAUGCCACUGUACUCCAGCCUGGGUGACAGAGUGAGACUCUGUCUC
rnacentral:lncRNA from 1 species